rnacentral:rRNA from 1 species
UCGAGCGGUAGAGAGAAAGCUUGCUUCUCUUGAGAGCGGCGGACGGGUGAGUAAUGCCUAGGAAUCUGCCUAGUGGUGGGGGAUAACGUUCGGAAACGGACGCUAAUACCGCAUACGUCCUACGGGAGAAAGCGGGGGACCUUCGGGCCUCGCGCCAUUAGAUGAGCCUAGGUCGGAUUAGCUAGUUGGUGAGGUAAUGGCUCACCAAGGCUACGAUCCGUAACUGGUCUGAGAGGAUGAUCAGUCACACUGGAACUGAGACACGGUCCAGACUCCUACGGGAGGCAGCAGUGGGGAAUAUUGGACAAUGGGCGAAAGCCUGAUCCAGCCAUGCCGCGUGUGUGAAGAAGGUCUUCGGAUUGUAAAGCACUUUAAGUUGGGAGGAAGGGUAGUAACUUAAUACGUUGCUACUUUGACGUUACCGACAGAAUAAGCACCGGCUAACUUCGUGCCAGCAGCCGCGGUAAUACGAAGGGUGCAAGCGUUAAUCGGAAUUACUGGGCGUAAAGCGCGCGUAGGUGGUUCAGUAAGUUGGAAGUGAAAUCCCCGGGCUCAACCUGGGAACUGCUUUCAAAACUGCUGAGCUAGAGUACGGUAGAGGGUAGUGGAAUUUCCUGUGUAGCGGUGAAAUGCGUAGAUAUAGGAAGGAACACCAGUGGCGAAGGCGACUACCUGGACUGAUACUGACACUGA